UACGAGGGGUGCAAGCGUUGCUCGGAAUUAUUGGGCGUAAAGGGUAGGUAGGUGGUCUCAUUUGUCUGGGGUGAAAGCCUUGGGCUUAACUCAAGAAGUGCCCCAGAAACGGUGAGACUCGAGUACUGGAGAGGGUCGUGGAAUUCCCGGUGUAGCGGUGAAAUGCGUAGAGAUCGGGAGGAACACCAGAGGCGAAGGCGGCGACCUGGACAGUUACUGACACUCAACUACGAAAGCGUGGGGAGCAAACAGG
rnacentral:rRNA from 1 species